UCGCCGCCUCUCACCUCCGCCUCGGCUCUGCCUUCCUCCCGGACUCCCCCAGCGCGUCCCCACCCUCCCGGUCCCCCGUGGCCGGCCAGCCUCCCGGCCCGGUACCUUCUUCAUGAUGCCCGUCUUCCUCUUGCUGAAGGUCGUGUAGCGCCGCAGUUUGUUGUCGAUGAACUCCAUCUUGAUCUUCACGCGGCCCCGAGUCUUCUUACCCGGCUUGGCCCCGCUCACCGCGCCGCUCACCGGCCCAUAGCCCCCGGUGGCUGCCGUCGCCGCCUCGGGCCCACCGACCACCACGCCGAGCUCCAUCUCGCUAAGGCUCCGCUUCAGGCCGCGCCGCUCCGCGCCCAGCUCCUCCUCCUCACCCGACUCCGAGUCGCCCUCGCUGCCGCUGUAGAGGGCCCCCGCGGUGGGCGCCGAGGUGGUUGUCGCUGCGGCUGCAGCCUCCCUCUCCAGGCGGCCCGGCCCGAGCCCCGCGCCGUUCCCGGGAACCCGGCCCCCGUUAGCCCCGCGAGUCCCGCCGCCGCCGCCACCUCCCGGCCGCCCCGUCGGGGUCCGGUUCAGGCUGCCCGCCAGGGCCGAGCCCCGGCCCAGAGCCGCCGCGGCCCCAGCUUGGCUCGGUAACAUGGCGCUCAAUGCAGGAGGGCGGACGGGCAGUCAGCGAGGAAUCGGAGCCGCCGCCGCCGCCGCCAUCGGCUUCCCGGCUCAACCCGGCACUCCUGCUGCUGCUAGAGCCUCUAUCGCUGCUGCCGUCGCCGCCGCCAACCCGGGGCCCCUGCACGCCCGGGCCGACCUGGGCCCUCACUUUCCUGCCCCUGUGGCCCGGGUUGCCCCAGGCCGCUCGGAGCGCCCCCUGUCCGUAUGCUAGGGCGGCGCGCCCGGCGGCCGUCAGCGUCCCCCGGGGGGCAGGGGCUGCUGGCCGCGGCCGAGACGGCGGGUGGAGGGGGCCGGGACCACGCGCUGGCGGCGGAGGGAUCCCCCGACCCUUCCCCCCAUAUAAAGAGAUACAAUGUUUCCUUUUAUGGCGAGGCCGCUCCUUAUAUGGUGAGCCCCUGCGCCCCCGCCGCAUUGGUCCGCGGUUCCGGCACCUCCGCUCCCCAUUGGCCCACAGGGAGCGCUUAUUUGCAUAGACAUACCGAACUCGCUGCUGUCAUCCCGCGUCAGACGGCGACUCCGAAGGAGGAGGAGCCGACGCCUCUUAAAGGAACAGGAGAGGAGGCGACACUUUCCCACCAGACUGGCUCCCCGGUCCUCAUUCAUCAUCCUCUAUACUGGAGGGAUCUUUGGCAGACGUACAUCUGGAAAAGACCGGGGGAGACAAUCGGCCUCUCCGUCCCCGAAGAGGGCAGGGUGACAAGAUGAAGAUCAGUGAAGACUUCCAGCUGCGGGUUGGGCUGGGGGAGGGGGUUGUCCCGGGGAUAAAGACCACCCUACCGCCAGUGCAAAGGCCUGGGAAAAAGUAGAGCCAGACAAAGUUUCAGCAAAUAAGCCAGCCAGCCAGCAUGUGCACACGCACACGCGCGCGCACACACACACACACCCACACACCCCUUACCCCUUCUAUGGAAAGCCCAUGAAGAGGUGGGAAGUUAGAGCCGUAGCGCUGCAAAGCCCAGGUUCAGGGUUUGGGUCUGGGUCUCAGCUCCAAGGCCGUGAAAAUAUCUUGGGCUUUGCCAUUAAAGAAAUUAUUCAAAUCUGGAAUCAGCCUCUUUCUAAGCCUGUGCCUGGAAAUAAGGGUUCCACCUCUCCAAACUCCUUCAUAUUCCUCAUUGUUAGUACCCAUCCGCUGAGGUUCUUAAUGUAAAUUAAAUGAGAUAAAGGCUAAAGCAUAGAGUAAGUGGUCAGUUAAUAGGAGCUACUGGGGUAAUCGAUUCAUUCUUGGAAUAAACAUCGGGUUGUCUUUAAGGGGAUGGGAGAGUGAUGUUUCCUUUCCUUAAAUUUUUUUGUGAAGAUUAAAUGAAGUGGUUGGUUUUGACCUAUUAUUGAUAGUGUACUGCGACAAGCAUUUAAAAUAAUAAAUCAAUGAGUACCACAAAAAGCAAGGGCAAAUAUUUCUGCAUGAAACUUGGUUUGCAUUACUGUUAGGUUGAACCAUGUAAAAUUGCCAUUUAGCAUAUUGUUGAUUUCAUAUGGCUCAAUGUGUGUGUACCUGAUGACGAUGUCAAUUGCAUCUUACUGUGAGUCACAGUCCAAAGACUGAAAAUACUGAAAUAAAGUAUGUUCAAGGGA